rnacentral:rRNA from 1 species
GACGAACGCUGGCGGCGUGCCUAAUACAUGCAAGUUGAGCGCUGAAGGUUGGUACUUGUACCAACUGGAUGAGCAGCGAACGGGUGAGUAACGCGUGGGGAAUCUGCCUUUGAGCGGGGGACAACAUUGGGAAACGAAUGCUAAUACCGCAUAAAAACUUUAAACACAAGUUUUAAGUUUGAAAGAUGCAUUUGCAGCACCCAAAGAUGAUCCCCCGUUGGAUUAGCUAGUUGGUGAGGGAAAGGCCCACCAAGACGAAGAUACAUAGCCGACCUGAAGGGGGGGUUGGCCCAAAUGGGAACGGAACCAGGCCCAAAAUUCCACGGGAGGGAGCAGGAGGGGAUCUUUGGCAAUGGAGGGAAGGCUGACCGGGCCAAGCCGGGGGAGGGAAGAAGGUUUUCGGAUCGUAAAACUCUGUUGGUAGGGAAGAACGUUGGUGAGAGUGGAAAGCGCAUCAAGUGACGGUAACUACUCAGAAAGCGACGGCUAACUACGUG